CCGUUCCGAGCAAUGAGACUGCAGGCACAGGUGCGGCCGGAUUCCCUGUCGCUGUCCCGCGCUGAGUGAAUUUUGCCUCGGAGCUGGUCCGAGGUCGCGCCUGCUCUUUUGUGUGCCCAAGGCAGAUUUCCAGGUUUCGAAGUAGAAAUCUGUCUUCUAACUCUAAGGCCUUGGGAGAUGAAGGAUCCGUGAUUCAAAGGCAGAAAUAGAUGGAGUCUUGCUGUGUUCUCCAGGAUUGAGUACAGUGGCUUAUUCACAGAUGUGAUCAUACUACACUACAGCCUCAAACUCCCGGGGUCAAGCAGUCCUCCUGCUUCAGCCUCCUGAGGAGCUGGGACUACAGGCCCACAUCACCAUGCCCACUAGAUUCACAGUCAUUUUGCUUGUGGAAGGUCUUGCCUCAAUGUUGAUAGGUGCUGACUGAUCAGGGUCAGGUUGCUGACUGAUCAGAAUGGUAGUUUCUGAAUGUUGGGAAUGGCUAUGGCAAUUUCUUAAAAUAAGACAACAAUGAAGUUUGCUGCAUUGAUUGACUCCCUUUCACAAAGGAUUUCUCCAUAUCAUGCAAUGCUGUUUGAUAGCAUUUUACCCAUAGUAGAACUUCUUUCAAAAUUGGAGUCAAUUCUCUCAAACCUUGUCUCUGCUUGGUCAACUAAGUUUAUGCACUAUUCCACAUCCUUUGUUGUCAUUUCAACAAUAUUUACAGAGUCUUCACCAUGAAUAGAUUCCUUUUCAAACAACCACUUUCUUUGCUCAGCCAUAAGAAGCAACUCUUCACCCAUUCAAGUUUUAUCAUGAGAUUGCAGCAAUUCAGUCACAUCAAAUUCCACUUCUAAUUCUAGUUGUUUUUCUAUUUCCACCACAUCUGCAGGUACUUUCUCCACAGAAAUUUCAAACCUCUCAAAGUCAUCCGUGAGGGUUGGAAUCAACUUCCAAAUUUCUGUGAAUGUUGAUAUUUUGACCUCCUCCUAAUCACAAAUGUUCUUAAUGGCAUCUAGAAUGGUGAAUCUUUUCCAGAAGGUUUUCUAUGUGCUUUGCCCAGUUCCAUCAGAAGAAUCACUGUCUGUGGUAGCUCUAGCCUUAUUAAAUGUAUAUUUUAAAUAAUAACACCUAAAAAUCAAAAUGACUCCUUGAUCCAUGGGCUGUAGAAUAGACAUUGUGUUAGCAGUCAUGAAAACAAGAUUAAUCUCCUCAUAUAGCACCAUUAUAGCUCUUGGGUGACCACGUGCAUUGUCAAUGACCAGUAAUAUUUUGAAAGGACACCUUUUUUUUUGAGCAGUAGGUCUCAACAGUGGACUUAAAAUAUUCAGAAAGCUGUGUUGUAAACAGAUGUGCUGCCAGCUAGGUAUCGUUGUUCCAUUUAUAGAGCACUGGUAGAGCAGAUUUAGCAUAAUUUGUCAGGACCCUAGGAUUUUUGGAAUGGUAAAUGGGCACUGGCUUCAACUUCAAGUAACCAACUGCAUUAACUCCUAACAAGAAGAGUCAGCCUGUCCUUGAAAGUAUGAAAACAGGCAUGGACUUCUCCUCUCUAGCUAUGAAAGUCUUAGAUGGCAUCUUCUUCCAAUAGAAGUUGUUUCAUGUACAUUGAAAAUCUGUUGUUUGGUGUAGCCACCCUCUUCGAUGAUCUUAGCUAGAUCUUCUGGAUAACUUGCUACAGUUUCUACAUCAGCACUUGUUGCCUUACCUUACACUUUCAUGUUAAGGAGAUAGCUUCUUUCCUUAAACCACAGGAACGAACCUCUGCUAUCUUCUAGAUUUUCUUGGGCAACUUCCUUACUUCUUUCAGCUUUCAUAGAACUGAAUAGUGUUAGGAUCUUGCUCUGGGUUAGGUUUUGGCUUAAGGGAAUGUGGUAGCUGGUUUGAUUUAUUUAGACCACUAAAACUUUCUUCAUAUCAGCAUUAAGGCUGGUUUGCUUUAUUAUCAUUUAUGUGUUCACUGGAGUAGCACUUUAAAUUUCCUCCAAGCUUGUUUGCUUUUCACUCACAGUGUGGCUGUUUGGUGCCAAGAGGCCUAGCUUCCCAGUCUUGGCUUUCAACAUGCCUUCCUCACUAAGCAUAGUCAUUUCUAGCUAUUUAUUUAAAGUUAGAGAUGUGCAACUCUUCUUUCACUUGAACACUUAGAGGCUAUUGUAGGGUUAUUACUUGGCUUAAUUGCAAUAUUGUUGUGUCUGGAGGAAUAGAGAGGCCUGGGGACACAAAGAGAAAUGGGGAACAGCUGGUCACUGGAGCAGUGAGAACACACGCAACAUUUAUUGAUUAAAUUCGCUGUUUUAUGGGCUCGGUUCAUGGUGCUCCAAAACAAUUAUAAUAGUAACAUCAAACAUCACUGUUCACAGGUCACCAUAACAGAUAUAAUGAUAAUGAUAAUAAUAAUAAUGUUUGAAAUAUUGCAAGAAUUACCAAAAUGUGACUCAGAGAAACAAUAAAGUGAGCACAUGCUGUUGGAAAAAUGGUACUGAUAGACUUGAUCCAUGCAGGGUUGCCACAAACGAUUAAUUUGCAAAAAAAACAAACAAAAGAACAUGCAGUAUCUGUGAAGCACAAUAAAGCAUACUGCAAA
rnacentral:lncRNA from 1 species